UGUUAAAAAUUUCAUCAAUUUCUGCUGUUUAACACUGGCAUGGCUAACAGAAUAAUUAAAUAGUAAGACGUGGCAUGCCAUACGUACCAAAUGUUGAUGUAUAGGGACCAAACUUUAACUGUAAAAAUGGAUGAAUUUUUUAAUA
rfam:Gossypium hirsutum cultivar TM-1 unplaced genomic scaffold scaffold290.1, whole genome shotgun sequence